CUAAACUUAGUCUUACGUAAAUAUAGUUCUUUCCUAGAAUAUCUCUAUUUGUUGUAACCUAUUUUGUUGUAAACUUCACUAUAUAUAUCAAUGAGAAUAAACAAAAUAUUCACUGUUGAAAAACCAUAAACACUGUCUCCAAACUUUGAUUUCUUCACAUUUUGAAUUUAUUUUCAGGUUGUAUUCGAUAUAUGUGGCACGUCUCAGAGCCAAUGGUUUAGACAAAUGGACGAUGAUCUAAUAAGUUCAAGUGUUCUUCUUCGUCUCUGGAGCUCCUGUCAUGCCAAAGAACAAAACACCAUGGGCUUCAACUUGCAUGGUAUGAAUGAUUCAAUACGUCCACAUUGCACGGCAAGAGUUGAACGAACAUUCACACAGACUGGCGACUACUUAUGGGUCAGUUUCGAAGACAUGCAUGAAACCCCUGGAUAGUUAAUUGAAGUGAAGCAAAUCGGAGUUCAGUGAUCUAUCUAGUGAUUCAGUGAGUAUGGGAAGUUCUUCCCAACUGGUGUUUCUUUAUAUAUGAAAAACAAAUCUGAAAUAAAAUCAAAGAACUACAAGUACGAAAUGGUAGACACUCUUUUAAUUGUCAAAUAAAUGAGUUUAUAGAUACAAAAAGGAUGAAUUUGAUAGUUUAUGUUGCUCCUUAGAGCAAAUCUUAUGGUGAAAGAAUUCUAUCUUCCAUACCAUAUCAGCAUUUGGAAUCAUUCAUGGAAGCUCAAGUCUUAUGAUGGAAUCAUAGAAACCGUAAAAAGAAUAGUGUUUCACUUAGUCAAUGGUAUUUGACUAGAAUAUACAUACAUGGUUAAAUUAAAAGUGGCUUUUCUGUUUU